UACGUAGGGGGCAAGCGUUGUCCGGAUUUAUUGGGCGUAAAGAGCGUGUAGGCGGCUUUACAGGUCCGUUGUGAAAACUCGAGGCUCAACCUCGAGACGCCGGUGGAAACCGUAAGGCUAGAGUCCGGAAGAGGAGAGUGGAAUUCCUGGUGUAGCGGUGAAAUGCGCAGAUAUCAGGAAGAACACCCGUGGCGAAGGCAGCUCGCUAGGACGGAACUGACGCUGAGGCGCGAAAGCGUGGGGAGCGAACAGG
rnacentral:rRNA from 1 species